rnacentral:rRNA from 1 species
AGAGUUUGAUCAUGGCUCAGGAUGAACGCUGGCGGCGUGCCUAACACAUGCAAGUCGAACGGAAUCCUUCGGGAUUUAGUGGCGGACGGGUGAGUAACGCGUAAGAAUCUACCUCAAGGACGGGGACAACAGUUGGAAACGACUGCUAAGACCCGAUGUGCCGCAAGGUGAAAUAAUUUAUUGCCUAGAGAAGAGCUUGCGUCUGAUUAGCUAGUUGGCGGGGUAAAAGCCCACCAAGGCGACGAUCAGUAGCUGGUCUGAGAGGAUGAGCAGCCACACUGGGACUGAGACACGGCCCAGACUCCGACGGGAGGGAGCAGUGGGGAAUUUUCCGCAAUGGGCGAAAGCCUGACGGAGCAACGCCGCGUGAGGGAGGAAGGCUCUUGGGUUGUAAACCUCUUUUACUGGGGAAGAAGAACUGACGGUACCCAGCGAAUAAGCAUCGGCUAACUCCGUGCCAGCCGCCGCGGUAAUUC